CAACGGUCCAAGUGGAUUUUUACUCCCCAGAAACUGGCAGAGAGAUAUAAAGCUGCUAAUCAGAGGGCAGUGCAAUUGCUGGAGAAGGUGUG